UUGACGAACGCUGGCGGCGUGCUUAACACAUGCAAGUCGAACGGAAAGGCCCUGCUUUUGUGGGGUGCUCGAGUGGCGAACGGGUGAGUAACACGUGAGUAACCUGCCCUUGACUUUGGGAUAACUUCAGGAAACUGGGGCUAAUACCGGAUAGGAGCUCCUGCUGCAUGGUGGGGGUUGGAAAGUUUCGGCGGUUGGGGAUGGACUCGCGGCUUAUCAGCUUGUUGGUGGGGUAGUGGCUUACCAAGGCUUUGACGGGUAGCCGGCCUGAGAGGGUGACCGGCCACAUUGGGACUGAGAUACGGCCCAGACUCCUACGGGAGGCAGCAGUGGGGAAUAUUGCACAAUGGGCGGAAGCCUGAUGCAGCAACGCCGCGUGCGGGAUGACGGCCUUCGGGUUGUAAACCGCUUUCGCCUGUGACGAAGCGUGAGUGACGGUAAUGGGUAAAGAAGCACCGGCUAACUACGUGCCAGCAGCCGCGGUGAUACGUAGGGUGCGAGCGUUGUCCGGAUUUAUUGGGCGUAAAGGGCUCGUAGGUGGUUGAUCGCGUCGGAAGUGUAAUCUUGGGGCUUAACCCUGAGCGUGCUUUCGAUACGGGUUGACUUGAGGAAGGUAGGGGAGAAUGGAAUUCCUGGUGGAGCGGUGGAAUGCGCAGAUAUCAGGAGGAACACCAGUGGCGAAGGCGGUUCUCUGGGCCUUUCCUGACGCUGAGGAGCGAAAGCGUGGGGAGCGAACAGGCUUAGAUACCCUGGUAGUCCACGCUGUAAACGGUGGGUACUAGGUGUGGGGUCCAUUCCACGGGUUCCGUGCCGUAGCUAACGCUUUAAGUACCCCGCCUGGGGAGUACGGCCGCAAGGCUAAAACUCAAAGGAAUUGACGGGGGCCCCCGCACAAGCGGCGGAGCAUGCGGAUUAAUUCGAUGCAACGCGUAGAACCUUACCUGGGUUUGACAUGGAUCGGGAGUGCUCAGAGAUGGGUGUGCCUCUUUUGGGGUCGGUUCACAGGUGGUGCAUGGCUGUCGUCAGCUCGUGUCGUGAGAUGUUGGGUUAAGUCCCGCAACGAGCGCAACCCUUGUUCACUGUUGCCAGCACGUUAUGGUGGGGACUCAGUGGAGACCGCCGGGGUCAACUCGGAGGAAGGUGGGGAUGACGUCAAGUCAUCAUGCCCCUUAUGUCCAGGGCUUCACGCAUGCUACAAUGGCUGGUACAGAGAGUGGCGAGCCUGUGAGGGUGAGCGAAUCUCGGAAAGCCGGUCUCAGUUCGGAUUGGGGUCUGCAACUCGACCUCAUGAAGUCGGAGUCGCUAGUAAUCGCAGAUCAGCAACGCUGCGGUGAAUACGUUCCCGGGGCUUGUACACACCGCCCGUCAAGUCAUGAAAGUUGGUAACACCCGAAGCCGGUGGCCUAACCGUUGUGGGGGAGCCGUCGAAGGUGGGACUGGUG
rnacentral:rRNA from 1 species